CCUACGGGAGGCAGCAGUGGGGAAUUUUGGACAAUGGGCGCAAGCCUGAUCCAGCAAUGCCGCGUGCAGGAUGAAGGCCUUCGGGUUGUAAACUGCUUUUGUACGGAACGAAAAAGUCUGCCCUAAUACGGUGGGCCCAUGACGGUACCGUAAGAAUAAGCACCGGCUAACUACGUGCCAGCAGCCGCGGUAAUACGUAGGGUGCGAGCGUUAAUCGGAAUUACUGGGCGUAAAGCGUGCGCAGGCGGUUAUAUAAGACAGAUGUGAAAUCCCCGGGCUCAACCUGGGACCUGCAUUUGUGACUGUAUAGCUAGAGUACGGUAGAGGGGGAUGGAAUUCCGCGUGUAGCAGUGAAAUGCGUAGAUAUGCGGAGGAACACCGAUGGCGAAGGCAAUCCCCUGGACCUGUACUGACGCUCAUGCACGAAAGCGUGGGGAGCAAACAGGAUUAGAUACCCUGGUAGUCCACGCCCUAAACGAUGUCAACUGGUUGUUGGGUCUUCACUGACUCAGUAACGAAGCUAACGCGNGAGUGCGCGNGGNGACGCGCGAGUAGAGACAGAGAGUGCGNGNGAGAGNGCGACGACGACGACGAGGGAGGAGG
rnacentral:rRNA from 1 species